GAACAAGAAAGAGCGACAGCGCUCUAAGUCGUCUUAUGACCCAUCUGAUAUUGUUGGGACAUCUUCAGAGGAUGGAUAUAUUGGUGUGUCAAAGAAGAGUCAUUUCUUUGGAAAGUAUUCUGCUGGUUCCAAUGACAGUGAUGGUGGCAGGAAGUGGAGUUCUACUCAAGAAUCAGUCCUGAUCACUGGAAGUAUUGGCCAAGCAGCUUCUGAUGAA
rnacentral:misc_RNA from 1 species